rnacentral:sRNA from 1 species
AAAAAUCGAGAGAAUUCUGAACCCGCCAAGCUGCGUUUGAGAUAACAUGUCGGAUUCGAGAGAAGUAACGAAGUAGAUCUAUCAGAAUUUAGUGCUCUUGGACUGAUGAAUCAUCAGAUUCGUACAUCGACGAAAUCCUUAUGAAUACAUCCAUUGUCAAGUGCCGAAAGGGGAGAAAAAGUCACCACCAUGUCAAGCAGGUAGAGCGCUCGUGAGAAACAAGAUGGCGAAACAGUCCCACAACGUCACACAUGGUCAGUCCUUUGCCUCAACUUCUGUUCUUACAUGUAGCAGCACCUUGGAGAAAGGUUCGCCGGCCAGUAGUACCAGUUGUUUAAUAGGACCAGCAUCGUGGCCUCUUUUCAAGUUGAGAAAGAUUGAGUUUCAGCAGGAAAAAAUCUUGGAGGGGCAGAAGGAAAUCAUCGCUAAAUACUCUCUGAAAGUAAUCCAUCGCAAAAGAAAGGAAAUAAGAAAGUUAAAAUAUGUGUUCCCAGCGAAGUACAUAUUGCUGUGCAUGAUGGAUACUCCCAUGGAAUUACCCUAGGAUUGUAGUGAAAAAUGAAAUCUGAUGAUGGAAACCAAAUAUUGAAAUGCAAUAAACAGAUAUUUCCUGUCUAUGCAAGAUAAAGGAAGGAGAGAGUCGAUUCUUUCAAGAAAGGAAUGGAUCUGUAUCAAAGGAAACAAGGAAAAUGGAAGUUAUACUAUAGACAGGCUGUCAGGCUGUAUUUAAACAAAAGACCUCCUGGGAUGAGGAGAAAAAGAAACAAGUAGAACCUGUAUUUCUUGUCGAGUACUUGAUGAUGUCAUCAGAAUAUGAAAAUGAUUGGGAAGAUGACACAAUAUAUGAAAUCACAUCUCUAAAGUGGUGCUCUGACGAAUGUUUAAUUGGACACCAAAAGUUCUGCUCUGAAAUCCAAAUGUUCAAAAAGGCAAAGUAUAAGACGUAUAAGGACCAACAAAGAAUCAUCUAGAGACAAACCAGAAAAUAUAUCAAAUGAACAGAAAUGGGCCAUUUGAGAUUUUUAAAAGAGUUGCUACUGUCAUGUAUAAUUAGCUCACCUGAGCUGAAAGUUAUUAUAUGGUUUUACUGAUAUGCAAGCAUUUUGACAUAUACAUUGUUGAUUGUAUAAAAUUGUUAACUCCGUCCCAUGGGCAAUUUUUGUUUCUCGCAAGAGGUUCAUAUUUUGAUGUAGGUUUAUUAUCCAUGUAUAAAGAGUUGUUUAACACUUCUUGAGAACUGCAAAGCUCAAUAUGUGAUAUGACUGUAAAAUCAUUGCAAAAAAGCUUGAUGUAUUGUUGUAGUAUGAUGAACCUAAAAAUAUGCUGGGUAUUUUUUUAAAUACAGGAUCUGAUAUUACUUGUUCAACUCAUACUGUUAUAUAAAAGAAUAUUCAUUGUGUAUUUUUUUAUUGUUGAAUUUUUUUUAUGCUGAUCAAUUACAGAUUAAAUUUGGCCAUUAUGAUUUUCAAUUUUUGUCAUAUUGGCAUGUAACCAAGUC